GUACACGCUGUGACUAGCAUAUCAAUAAGCGGAGGAAAAGAAACUAACAAGGAUUCCCCUAGUAACGGCGAGUGAAGCGGGAAGAGCUCAAAUUUGAAAUCUUAAAGGGUUUCCCUUUACGAAUUGUAGUUUAAAGAAGUGUUUUCUGUUGAGGUUUUGGUAAAAGUUCUUUGGAAUAGGACAUCAUAGAGGGUGAGAAUCCCGUAUUUGACCCUUACUUUCAACUUUGUGAUACACUUUCAAAGAGUCGGAUUGUUUGGGAAUGCAGUCCAAAAUGGGUGGUAAAUUUCAUCUAAAGCUAAAUAUUGGCGAGAGACCGAUAGCGAACAAGUACCGUGAGGGAAAGAUGAAAAGAACUUUGAAAAGAGAGUUAAACAGUACGUGAAAUUGUCAAAAGGGAAGCGUUUGACACCAGUGUUGUUUUUCUGAAAAUCAAUUAAAGAACUGUUUAUGCUAAGCUGUUUAGACUUUAUCAGCUAACUGUUUAGUUUUGAGCUUUUCUUUAAUGCACUUUUCAGUUAACAAGUCAACAUCAAUUUCUUUUGCUGUAAAAAAGCUUGAGGAAGGUGGCUUGAGAUUCGUCUUAAGUGUUUAUAGCCUCUUGCCUAUGCAGUCGGAGAGAUUGAGGUCUGCAGCGUAGAUCCUUCGGGGCUAAAUGCAUUUGUGCUAAGUUAUAGCAUUUUAUAGACAACUUGUUGACUAUGAUUUGUCUUGUAGCUUACUCGCUUAUGUUAUUUUACCUACGCUUAGGAUGUUGAGUCGUAGAGCACGCAG
rnacentral:rRNA from 1 species